rnacentral:lncRNA from 1 species
CCCAGAGACCCGGACAUGGUGGUCCUGGUGUAGCCUCGUAUCUGCAAGGACUUGGGGACAGGGCAGUUGCAAGAUGCACGUUUGGUUGUCCUAGGGACAUAGAAGGCCUGGGGGACUGUAGGGACAGGGGGCUCUCUGGGGACAUGGGAGGCCCGGGAGACCCGGCAGCUGGGGAGGGUUGAGUGGGGGGUCCCGGGGAGCCCCGUCCCGGAGGGUGCGGACUGGAGUGUCCCGGACCUGCGGACACUCGAGGGUGGAAGGGGGGGCGGUCCCAGUCCCUCCCGUCGGGGGCGGCCGCUGGGGCCCGAGGCUGGACGGGUACAGGAACGGGCGCACCGGUAGCGGCACCGACACCGAUUCGUGGUACCGGGACCAUGGCAGGGCUGGCGCGGUGCCAGCGCGAGGCCGAGGAGGUGGUGGAGCUGAUGCGACAGAACGUCGCGCGGGCGCUGGAGAGGGAGGGGCACCUGGAGCAGCUGCAGAGCCGUGCCCAGGACCUGCGACAAGCGAGUGAAGCCUUCACCCGCAUCACACAGACAAUGAUGUGGCGCCAGCGCAGAAGACAUCGGCAGUGGCACCUGGUGGCCCUCAGCCUCCUCCUCCUGCUCUUUAUCCUGGGUCUGGCACUGGUGCUGGCCCUGGCAUGGUCAUCCCCUGGGACUGUCGCCAGCACUGUCCCCACCCCACAGGGGGGGACCAAGCACCCCCCCCGAACUGCAGGGACUCCGUGACAGAGCAAUGGGGGGAUGCCUGAGGGGACCCCAUGAUAAAUAAACACCAGGACUUGUUUGGGGAGACUCUACAACAACAAUAAUGAAUCAGUGGGAUGAUCUUCAAGGAGACUCUACAAUAAAUAAACUCCAAGAUCUGCUUUGAAGAGACCCUACAACAAAAACCCAGCAAGACCCACUCAAAGGUAACACUACAAUAAGCACCAGGAGCUCUUUAGGGAGACCCUACAAUCACAGACUAGGAGGAUGAACUUCAGGGAGACCCUAUAAUAAAUAAAUACCAGGAUCUGUUUUAGGAUGACUCUACAAUAGCUAAGACUCCAGAAUCUGAUUUGAAGAUAUUCCAUGAUAAUUAACCAGCAGGAUGAACUCUUUGAGAAGACCCUACAAUAAAUAAAUACUGGGAUAUGUUUGGGACCCCAGAGCAACCAAGCAUGUGGGACCUAUUUCAGGGAAACCCUACAAUAAAUAAACACCAGGAUCUGUUUUGGGGAGACCCUACAAUAAAUAAAUACUAAGAGCACUAUGGGAAGACCCUACAAAAACAGAGCAGUGGUAUCAGCUUGGGGGAGAUCCUACAAUCCCAGUGAUGAUUUCCAGGAAGAUCUUACAAUAACAAAUGUGCCAGACCCUCCAGGGAGACCUUACAAUUAAUAAACAUCAGAAUCUACUUCAGGGAGACGCUACCAUAACAAAGGACCAUGAUGAUCUCUGUGAAGACCCUACAAUAACAAACAUGCUGGACCUCCUCUGGGGAAACUCUAUGAGAAAUAAACAUCUUAACUUUUGUUUGGAGAGACCCUACAAAAACGAACUAGCAGGACCCACUCCAGGGAGACCCUAUGAAAACAUCCUGGACCUUCUCUGGGGAGACCCAAUAAUGAACAACAGAAUCUGCUUGGUGUAGACCCUAAAAUAACAACUCCUCUGUGUCUUGCUGCUGGGAGACCUUACAAAAACAUAGCAGUGAGAUCAUCUUCAGGGUGACCCUACCAUAAUAAAAGGCCCUGAUUCAGGGACCCCCA